GUCUCUUUGUAGGUGAGGUGUAUAUAAAGAGUCAGACCUGCCCGGUGACUAAAAUGUUAAACGGCCGCGGUACCCUAACCGUGCAAAGGUAGCAUAAUCAUUUGCCUUUUAAUUGGAGGCUGGUAUGAAUGGUUUGACGAGAGCUAAGCUGUCUCUUUUUAAAUAAGUAGAAGUUAAUCUUUAGGUGAAGAAGCCUAAAUUAAUUUGAGGGACAAGAAGACCCUGUUGAGCUUUAGUGGGAUUGUAAAUUUAAGUUCACUUAUUGUAGGUGAAAACUAGUUUAAUGUAGUAGUAUAGUUUUGUUUUACAAAAAAUCUUUAGUUGGGGCGACUAAGGAACAGAAAAAGCUUCCUUUAUUAGUUUUGUAAUUUUAACUAAAAAUUGAUUUGUUAUUUUAGCAAGAUAAAAUGAUCCAAAAUUUUUGAUUAAAGGAAAAAGUUACCACAGGGAUAACAGCGUAAUCUUUCUGGAGAGAUCAUAUCGAAAGAAGGGUUUGCGACCUCGAUGUUGGACUAAGAUAUCCUGGAGGUGCAGAAGCUUCCGAUGGUUGGUCUGUUCGACCAUUAAAAUCUU
rnacentral:rRNA from 1 species